rfam:Dipodomys ordii contig_30202, whole genome shotgun sequence.
GGGACUGUGGCUCAGUGGUAGAGUGCUUGCUUUGCAUUCAUGAAGCUGUGGGUUCCAUUCCUCAGUACCA